GACGUAGGAGGCGAGCGUUGUCCGGAUUCAUUGGGCGUAAAGAGCGCGCAGGCGGCUUGGUAAGUCGGAUGUGAAAUCCCGAGGCUCAACCUCGGGUCUGCAUCCGAUACUGCCCGGCUAGAGGUAGGUAGGGGAGAUCGGAAUUCCUGGUGUAGCGGUGAAAUGCGCAGAGAUCGGGAAGAACAUCGGUGGCGAAAGCGCUCUGCUGGACUGCAGCUGACACUCAGGGACGAAAGCUAGGGGAGCGAAUGGG
rnacentral:rRNA from 1 species